rnacentral:tRNA from 1 species
AAGACACUAGUAAAACACAAUUACACUGCUUUGUCAGGGCAGAGUUGUGGGUUAAAACCCCGCGUGACUUG